GUGCUUUCUUCGGCAGCACAUUUACUAAAAUUGGAACGAUAUAGAAAAGAUUAGCAUGGCUCCAGUCCAAGGAUGACUGACAAAUUCAUGAAGUCUUGGAGUAAUAC
ensembl:snRNA U6 U6 spliceosomal RNA